rnacentral:misc_RNA from 1 species
AUAAAAGAGGACGUUAAUUGCGAUAAGGACUAACUAGCAGAAAAAUUUGUUAUCUUUUGCAGUUUUGUUUUUAGUUAUGAUAUUAGUUUAAAGGUAAAGCUACAAUUCUGUUGCUUCAACCGCCAAGCAAUGACUUUAUAUGGACACCAUGCGCUUCAAUUCAAAGGAACUUUCCUACAUUGCUCAGCAUGCUGACCGGUUUGACAAAGAAGGUGUUUUGUUGAUGAAAGAAAAAGUAGAUGGCUUGUUCAAAAAAGGAUCAGUUUAUCAAGAAAGAUAUUUUAGGUUGAAAGGGAAUCUGCUCUUUUACUUCAAGCACAAAGAACAGACUAAAGUUGAACCUCUUGGUGUAUUUAUCUUGGAGAGAUGUACAGUGGAGCUAGAUCUCAAAGAAGAUAUUGCUAAUUCUUUCAUGCUGGUAUUUGAGGGAGAGGAACACCCGUUCUUCCUAGCGACAUUGUCCGAGGACGACCGCGAUUCAUGGAUCCAGGCCCUACACAUCGCCAGCUAUGAGUGCCUUAAGAUGCAGCUACAACAGCUCCGUGAGCAGGUGCAGGCGAGGACGGGUCGCGACCCCAUACAGCUGCCCAAGGAACCCGUCGGCCUAGACCUGGACUCUGAAACUGAUCACUCAGAAGAUCCCGUUCUUGAAAUUUCAUUAUCCUGUAAUGAUUUGCCCACUGACAGCAAUGGACAACCUCCGAAUACCUUGAUUAUUCUACACACAAUAACCCCACCCGACCAGCAACUGUGGAUACACCAUAACCACACCGAAAUAGUUGAGAAAUCAUGCAACCCCCAGUUCUUGAAGACAGUGGGUUUUGGUAAUAAGGACAGUGUUGACACGGCAACCAGAGUAAAACUGACAGUCUACCAUGUGGUGGAGAGAAUGACAUGGACAAUGUUUCAAGUCGGUCAGGCUGUGUUCACUCUGCAGGAUGUGCUCAUGAAUCCCAGUUCAACACUGACCUUGACCUUACAGGGUUCAGACAUGAAGGAGUAUGGACAAGUGACUAUCACGUGUUGGGUUAACGACAGUGAUUUUAUGAAAGAGAGUUCGGACAGUAGUUUGAAGAGCCGUGGAUCAUUCACGAGGAACAGCACAGUUCUGAAGAUAUACCACGAGUCUGUGAUCAAUCGCUCGUUCCGAUUCACCACCAACGUCGUCGACAAGGUGCUGCUUGUACAUGAGUACAUGGCCGAGAGCAGAUGGUCAUUCGUUAUCCCUUCAUUACUCCUGAAGCUGUGGAUUGAUGAAGAAAAGAAAAAAGUUUCAUUGCUGCAGGAUUUUGGAGAGAUUUCUCCCACUUGGUCGAGUCUGCGGCAGGAAAUGACUGACUACUGCAUGAGUUCAAUCUCAACUUACACCCAAAAAGUAGCCCACCUUUCAAGUUACACAGGUCCAUCCUUCAAGCCAAGUUGUGAGAAGGAUAACAAGGAGUUAGAGUUUAUUCCUACGAACCUACACCUAGCGAGAAUGUGCGUCACAUCUGAGGGAUCAUCUGAAGCGACUGUGUAUGACAUUAUGACUGUGGGAGCAUUCGUGGCGUACACCCAGAAGUUCCGGUCAGGCGGUCUGCGCAAGAUGCUGCAGGGUCAGCGUGAGUUCCACAGCAGCCAGAGCACGCUGGGCUUCAAGACGAAGAUACAGAGCUCAUGCUCGCUCCUCAACGACAUCAACAAGCUCAAGGCCGAGGUCACGGAGGGCUGCAAGCAACUCCACCAGAGCGCGCUGCAGGGCUCGGAUGUUUCACUGCAGACGGCCACAAAAGACCUGACUGAAGUGGUUCGUGAGCUGAUCCGUCUCUGUGACGACCCGCUGCUGCAGCUGUCAGCGGAGAAGUACAUGCUGGCCAAGUCUCCAUCUAACGCCAGCGAUGGCCUCGAUGUGGUGGCAUCGCUCGGACCGGUGUCCAAGUCAUUCCACGGCAGACAGGCCAAAUCACCGGAGAAAGCGUGGAAGUGGUCGGGCAGCAGUUUCGUGAAAAGUCCCACAGUUGAACCAUGGGAGGUGACUCGACUGAACCUGGAGGCUGCACUGAUGUGUCUCAUCUCGAAGGUGGAUGAGUUCAGCAAGGACAGCACGUCUGACGAGGCGGUGUGGCAGUCGGAUUUAAACCCCAUCAUCAUCAAUCUGCAGGAUUUUGUGGAAAUUGUUUCCACAAGGGCAGCACUCUUCCUAUCAUUUCUUUCGCUCGUGCCCCAUCACACGUCACAAGUUAAUAGUUGGUCAUGUCAGACAACUCCAAUACUGAUUCCCCUUCACAUGGAGAACAAAGACCAUAUCAAGUUAAACCACAUGAUAAAAUACAGACGAGACAUUGUCGCAUCACAAGCAAUUACAUCAUUGGUGGCUGGAUUAUCCAUCACUAUGCAGACUCGCAUCACGGACGAAGCAUUUCUCGAACAGAUCUCAAAGAUCGGAUUUCUUAUAGGCUUUGAGGCGUUGCUCAGUUGCUAUGGUGACGAGAUGGGCAUGCUGGAGGACAUGUCCGUCGCUGUUGACGACCUCGCGUUUGUUUUCAUCAAGUUUGAGGAAGAAGUAGACGGCCAAUGUGAACCAACCAUCACCGCCCUCAGCGAUGUAAAAGCAGGAGAAUUUCCCGAUAUCAACAGACAUUCCAUAUGUGUGUCACUUCCUUUGCCAAAGACAUCAUUUUCUAAACUGCCAGAGAACUUACAGAAGAACAAAAUAAAGAUAACUCCCGUUUUCUUCAACAUUGGAAUCAAUGAACAAGCAACACUGGCUGAGAAGUUCGGGAACACCAGCACACAGGAGAGAAUAAAUGCCGAGAGUAUAGCUAAAGUGUUCAACUAUUAUGAAGACUACGUUAGGCACUUCGGAGAGCCAGAGAACAAGUCGGGGCCUGGCAGUGUGAACAACCUGACUAAGCAGCUGCAUACGAACAUCAUGACGAAAAAGAGCAAGAACACAGAAGUAUUGCAUAUUGCAGCUGAGGUGUGCCGCAAGCUGAAAGGAAUUCGAUUCAUCAGUUGUAAGAGUGGUAAAGAUCGAACCUCGAUGGCCGUUACCCUGGAGAUGGUACAGAUCCUUCAACAUGAACACGACCUGGCCUCUCAUGUCUUCUUACAUGCACUCGACUGUCUACGGAGUGUUGGCUGUCGGAGAGAGAACCCGCUGAAGAAUGCCGGAGUGCGGAAAUACGCCUUUAACAGUCUCCAGCUACUGUACAUCCCCAGACUGUACCGGCCACCCAGUGGAACGUACGGCAACACUCAGACAUAAUGAAGGCUCUGGCUUAGAUAAAACACCACAAACAGCUUUAUUUAAUUCCAUUUGUGUCUUGGACAACUUUAUAGCUGAACACAUCUUGUCAUUUCAUUUUCUGCCAUUAGAUGCAUGACUUGUCUUUAACAAGGCCUAAUACAUGAUCAUUUAUUUUAAAAAGCAAAGUGUGGAAAGUAGCAGACCCAACAAGAGGGAAAUUUGAAGUGGUGUGUGUAGGAGGUAGAAGUCGGUUGGGGUAGGGAAGAGGAUGUCAAAUGGCUUGCCUAUAAAUAAGGAUCAAUGCUGGCUCUGGAAAGCUUGCCAGUUACUUAUGAGAAAGUUCUCCACACUCUAAACAAAAUUUAAAUUGUAAAUAGUUUUAGGUGUAUCCUAGGCCAUAACAUUUAGACUUAACAAUAGUUUUAGGUGUAUCCUAGGCCAUACAAUUAGAGACGUAACAAUAGUUUUAGGUGUAUCCUAGGUCAUACAUUUAGAGACUUAACACUUCACACCUCCCUCUUCCCCCCCCCCCCCCCCCCACCACCACCACCACUCUCACAAACCACUAACGCUACUAGUCUUGACUGUUUUAUACCUUACAUAUUUGACCUGUUUUUUAAAUGGACCGUAUAGUACAGACUUUGGCACAUAUCACUCAUCUUCCACAUUGUUUAUCAGGUGGAGUUUAUUAGUGCAAUGCAGGGACCUUCUGACUGCUGUAGACUCAGAGAAAUAUAUAUUCUAAUUUUUACUAUCAUUUUUAUGACAGUUUGGAAACAAUAAGUCACAUUUAUCAUAUGAUUCCUGUUCUGUUUGAUUUGUCAACUCUAUUAUGCACUGCAUAGGUCAAACCUUUAGUCAGUGGUAGUUUGUGAACAAAUGCUUGCAUUUUAUCUGAUGAUACAUUUUGUCAAUCAUUUCCCAGCCAUGCAGUAGUUUGCCCAUUCUAAAACCAUUCGUUAUGCAGGAUUUAAGCUGUUGCUCGCCAAAUGCAAAUAAAAGUUGAAUUUGUCAAAUAUAUUUCAUUACUAAUCCAAAAAACCUCAUUUUGUUAGUGUCUUGCCUAUUAAUAACCACCUUCGUUCAUUGUGCUGACAUUGUAUAUCUGUAUGCAUUUUUGUAAUUGUAUUUAUCAUAUGACCAUUCAUCUGGCUAUGUCUUUGAAUGAUCAGGGUGAUAACCUCCCACCCCCACCCCCCCAAAAAAAAGAAUCAUUGCUCUUUUUACUUUAAAAGUGUGUUUUUUUUCUAGCUAGAGAAACCCUCAGUUACUGUGCUUUGAUUCUUGUUUUACUCCCCACCCCUUUAUUACAAACUAGGUAUGGCCCUGGUGAAAGUAUCUAAACAUUUAACAAUCAGAAUGAUUUUCAUUAUGUAUGUUUGACCUUACAUCAGGCAGUCAAACCUGUGUUAAAUGGCUGCCAGGGUUUCUGCCAAAGGGUAAAACGGGUAUGGUGCCAUAUCCAAAAGUUUUUGCAAUUUUUUUUAUUAUUUUUUUUUUUUAAUGUUAACCUCUUGACAAA